GUCUACAGCCAUACCACCCUGAAUGUGCCUGAUCUCAGAAGCUAAGCAGGGUCGGGCCUGGUUAGUACUUGGAUGGGAGAAGUAAAUGAAAGCGCAAAGGUAACGAUGGCUGUAUUAGUCA
rnacentral:rRNA from 1 species